rnacentral:tRNA from 1 species
GCGAGAGUGGUGGAAUUGGUAGACACGCCAGACUUAGGAUCUGGUGCCUUGCGCAUAAGGGUUCAAGUCCCUUCUCUCGCA